GAUGAACGCUGGCGGCGUGCUUAACACAUGCAAGUCGAACGAGAAAUGGAGACGGAACCCUUCGGGCGGAAGGCUUCAUUUCGAGUGGCGGACGGGUGAGUAACGCGUGGGUAACCUGCCUCAUACAGGGGGAUAACAGUUGGAAACGACUGUUAAUACCGCAUAAGACCACAGCACCGCAUGGUGCGGGGGUAAAAACUCCGGUGGUAUGAGAUGGACCCGCGUUCGAUUAGCCAGUUGGCGGGGUAACGGCCCACCAAAGCGACGAUCGAUAGCCGAUCUGAGAGGAUGACCGGCCACAUUGGGACUGAGACACGGCCCAAACUCCUACGGGAGGCAGCAGUGGGGAAUAUUGCACAAUGGGGGAAACCCUGAUGCAGCGACGCCGCGUGAGUGAAGAAGUACUUCGGUAUGUAAAGCUCUAUCAGCAGGGAAGAAAAUGACGGUACCUGAGUAAGAAGCCCCGGCUAACUACGUG
rnacentral:rRNA from 1 species